CGGGUGAGUAACGCGUGGAUAACCUGCCUCACACUGGGGGAUAACAGUUAGAAAUGACUGCUAAUACCGCAUAAGCGCACAGUACCGCAUGGUACAGUGUGAAAACCUCCGGUGGUGUGAGAUGGAUCCGCGUCUGAUUAGCCAGUUGGCGGGGUAACGGCCCACCAAAGCGACGAUCAGUAGCCGACCUGAGAGGGUGACCGGCCACAUUGGGACUGAGACACGGCCCAA
rnacentral:rRNA from 1 species